rnacentral:rRNA from 1 species
UACGGGGGGGGCAAGCGUUGUUCGGAAUUACUGGGCGUAAAGGGCGCGUAGGCGGCUUUUCAAGUCGGGCGUGAAAUCUCCGGGCUUAACCCGGAAGGGUCGUUCGAUACUGUUGAGCUAGAGUGUGGAAGAGGCAACUAGAAUUCCGUGUGUAGCGGUGAAAUGCGUAGAUAUACGGAGGAAUACCUGAGGCGAAGGCGGGUUGCUGGGCCAACACUGACGCUGAGGCGCGAAAGCGUGGGGAGCAAACGGG